rnacentral:rRNA from 1 species
GACGAACGCUAGCGGCAGGCUUAAUACAUGCAAGUCGAGGGGCAGCAUGAUUGUAGCAAUACAAUUGAUGGCAACCGGCAAACGGGUGCGGAACACGUACACAACCUCCCAAUAAGUAGGGAAUAGCCCAGAGAAAUUUGGAUUAAUACCCCGUAACAUAACGAUGUGGCAUCACAUUGUUAUUAUAGAUUUUUCGCUUAUUGAUGGGCGUGCGGUUGAUUAGGUAGUUGGCGGGGUAACGGCCCACCAAGCCUACGAUCAAUAGCUGAUGUGAGAGCAUGCGCAGCCACACGGGCACUGAGACACGGGCCCGACUCCUACGGGAGGCAGCAGUAAGGAAUAUUGGGCAAUGGACGCAAGUCUGACCCAGCCAUGCCGCGUGAAGGAUGAAGGUCCUCUGGAUUGUAAACUUCUUUUAUCUGGGGCGAAAAUCGGGUAUUCUUAUCCGCUUGACAGUACCAGAGGAAUAAGCACCGGCUAACUCCGUGCCAGCCGCCGCAGUAACAC